rnacentral:lncRNA from 1 species
UUGAUGUUGAUAAUCUGUUAACAUGUAUUUAGUAUUUACAUUCAACUAAAAUUUCAAGUUGAAUGAAAGCAUCGAAGAACAUUCUUCCAUCAGAUACAAACAAAUAUAUAAACAAAAUAGCAACCAAAUUAAAAACCAAAUGAUGCACAGCAUCUAUAUCAUCUUUGAUAAUACCAAAUAGUCAUAACACCAAACGUAAACAGAAAACCAAAAAAAAAUCCAUAACAAAACCAUGUUUAUAAUAACAUGGCAUUUAUUUAAUUAAAUAUUUUUUAUUAAAACCUACUCAUACUCCUUUUCUUCAUUCUCCUUCUCUUUCCACCCUCCGCUUUUCAACACAGACCUCGGAGACCCACAGCAGCUCCCACCUUCCUUCACAAACUUGAGAUACACAAUCGAUUCUCCACCACCAAUUUCUUCAUAACUUUUUUCUUCCACCCCAUACCCUUCAAUCUCAAUUCCGCUUCCAAUUCCGUUUCCAAUUCCUCCACCAACAGCAAUCGAAAACUCACCAGGCUCAAAACAAUCCAACACCCUUCUCACAAGGCUUUCCAAUCCAAUCUCCUUCAAGUCAUACCCAACAGCCUCAAAGCUCGCGUAACUAAACCCAUCUUCCGGAGUCACAUGAAUAGUUGAAACAGCGGAAUCCUCAAUUCCAUUCAUGGAGUACCCACACGGGUCGAAUUCAAAGUCACAGAUUCCAGAGUUUGGGAGGAUCGAACGGAUACCGGAAUCGUUCGUCAUUGUUUCUGCAGAACUCCACUCGGUUUUGUAAAAGACAGAAGCUUUUUCACGGUCUAGAGUCGUCAUGCACAUCUCGAGCGUGUACAUGUCACCGGAAUCGGAAUCAGCAACACCGGAAUCAGAAUUGGCAAAAGCGGAAUAAACGUACCACUUGUUAGGCUUGUCAAAAGCACCCAUUGCAUAAGCUUUGCUUGAUAACCCGAGUUUCUCAAAAUGGGAAUCGAGAACUGAAACUUCUUCGGUGAAGCUUCUAUGUGGGAAAGAUUGAGCUCCGGGGAAUAUAAAACUGCCACGUGUAUAUCUCACUGAUCGGACAGUGAGAGAGAGUGUCGCCGCUAGCUUCAGAAUAGCUGGAAUCGACAACAAAAGCUUGGUGGUCCCACAUGUUUUGAUUACGAGUUUGUAUGGGAAAAUAAAAAGACUCGAUUCUGAGAGAACGUAAGAGUCAACAUGGUCGUUGGAGAGAGAAGACACGAUUGUGCAUUCAGCUGGGGUUAAAAUUUCAUCGAUUUGGGUCUUUGAGAGGACCCGAAGACCUUGACCAUUCGGGUCGGAAAAGAUGCUGGGCUCGAAGAAUGUUAGUUCGAGUCUUUUUUCGUAACCUUCAAAACCGAUUGCAGAAACUUGUUGCGCCAUUUGAGCAAGAAGAGGAGAAAGAUGAGAGAAGAAGAAAAGGGAAGAGGGUUUUUUUACUAAUUCUAAACUAAUUUGAAAGCAGUAAAAUUAAAAGCACGUCAAGUGACGUGAAGGGGAAAGCGAUUUAG